GGGGGCGUACUUGGUUUCGACGGGGGUACGUGGCACCUGGGAAGCGAGUCGAGGGAGCCUGUGGGCCCGCGUUAAAAAACUACGGGAAUAAAGAUAAACGCAGAAGAUAAUUUUGCAUUAGCAGCUUAGUCUGCUACGUUCUACCUUUGAGUACCGCGGCUUAGGAUAGGGCGCCGACAGCGGUGAACCGAGUCUAGGAAAGCUUUGACCUAGAAACGGAAAUUAUGAAGCUACUGAAAGUGAAACCUGGUUGGUAGGGGUUCACUGGAGGGAAUGUUAAAAUACCAACUGCACUCGGAGAUGCCUAGAUGUGAUGGCUUUCGGACAGGGGUUCGACACCCCUCGCCUCCACCA
rnacentral:tmRNA from 1 species